CCCCUAGAUGUUCUGGGCCGCACGCGCGCUACACUGAACAGUUCAACAAGUCUUAACCUUGGCCGAUAGGUCUGGGUAAUCUUUGAACGCUGUUCGUGAUUGGGAUAGACCUUUGCAAUUAUGGGUCUUCAACGAGGAAUUCCUAGUAAACGCAAGUCAUCAGCUUGCAUUGAUUAAGUCCCUGCCCUUUGUACACACCGCCCGUCGCACCUACCGAUUGAAUGGUCCGGUGAAAUCUCGGGACGGCGGCUUGGUCGCUUGCGUCCGACUGCUGAAACUUGAUUAAACCAUAUCAUUUAGAGGAAGGUGAAGUCGUAACA
rnacentral:rRNA from 1 species